UACGAAGGGGGCUAGCGUUGUUCGGAAUCACUGGGCGUAAAGCGCACGUAGGCGGAUCGUUAAGUCGAGGGUGAAAUCCCAGGGCUCAACCCUGGAACUGCCUUCGAUACUGGCGAUCUUCGAGUCCGGGAGAGGUGAGUGGAACUCCGAGUGUAGAGGUGAAAUUCGUAGAUAUUCGGAAGAACACCAGUGGCGAAGGCGGCUCACUGGCCCGGUACUGACGCUGAGGUACGAAAGCGUGGGGAGCAAACAGG
rnacentral:rRNA from 1 species